rfam:Stegodyphus mimosarum contig102395, whole genome shotgun sequence.
GCCUUCAAGGUGCAGUGGUCAGCACGCUCGGCGCGUAUUCGAGAGGUCCGUGGUUCGAAUCCGGGCGAGAGCA